GGCGUUUCACACAAAGACGCUGUUGGCUGAGGCAGCCCUUUACUCAUAGGGAUUUUGCCCUGAGGGUUUUCACCCAUCCUGCCCGGUGGGCACCUGCCCCUCACUGCCUGGACCCGGGCCCCGGCUGCCCCUGGUCGCUGGCUUCAUUUUCUCUUUGUGAGCAGCAGCUGGAGACGUCCACACUUCCGUCUGCAGAACCGGCUGGAGCUGAGGCGAAGGGGGCCUUCCCUGUGGCCUGGUGGUUUCCUCUCCGAGGGCCAAACCUAAGGUGAAGGGAAAAAUCUAUUCUGCAGAAGACCCACGAAUUCUCCAGAUCAGAGAAGCUUUCACAGAACAGGAAAAAUGCAUGAAGCUGAGACACCAACCACCUACUGAACUGAGGACUCCACAGUCAGUACCCUGAGAGCCCAGGAAGACCUACUAGUCUGUGGAGCUGCUAAUCGUUUGAUCUGCAGAUGGACCUGGUCAAAUACUGAAGCUGUGUUUUGUCCCUAGUCUUGAAAUUGACCUGAGAGAUGAUGGAAUCCCUUGCACAGACUUGAGGUUUCUGCCCUCAUGACUAACAAGGCUGGAACUGCUUCUCCCAGAACAACUUCACCACUUUGCCAGAUGAGACCUGCUGCUCGAGUGAGCCUGGGAGGGUGCCAGGUGUACACGGCAGCCCGGGCUCCGUCCAACCUCAUCCUGGGCGUAUUUAUGCUGUACAUCGAAUGGGGAAUGCAGCCCACCUUUGCUGUUCCAGCCUCCAAAAACAGGUCCAGAAGCUUCCUGCCUGGGGUCUAGAGGGGCUUUAAAUGCCUAUGUCAGGGAAUGUCUUAAAAACACCCCUGGAAAACGCUGCCUCUUCUCCACCUCUGAGAUUCCCUAAUUAUAUAAUUGUUCACCUUAUAAGCCAGAAAAAUAGAGAACGCAUGGUGGGCUCAUGGCAGAGUCGUGCAGAACUCAGCAGUGGCGCCAGCCUCACGUUCUGCCCUGCUGUCCUCCCGGGGACGGGCGAGCUGCAGCGGAGGUGGCCAUCUGGUCCCUGUGUGUGACAGACAAGGAGGAGCACCGCAAAGAUUGGCUGCUUUCUGAGCCACAGAGGGGAGCGCUUGGAGUCUCCGCUGCUGACUGGAGCCUUAAGAACGGGGCUUAGAUCGAAGUGAAGGGGCUGACGGUUUCAGUACAUGACUGACUUGUCAAGCCUGAGACUGCUCCCUGCUUUCCUUGGGCCAGGCACCAGACUUAGGGAACAAACAGCCAGGUUUAUUACAAAUCAUCACUUCAAAUCAGGGACAUUGAAGCUCUAGCACCUCCCAGAAGUGCCGCACCGGAAACCAGGCCUGUAACCAUAUGUGGCCCCAGGGACACUUAGGAUCCAAACUACAGCAUCGAUGCCUGCACCAAAGACAGAUUAACAAGAGAAAACCAAGCACAUUUGUCAAUGCUUUGAGAGAACAUCGGGCAAGAGGAGUCACUCAAAGUGGUGGCCUAGGAGCCUGCCGUAAAUGGUUUCUCAGUAAAGUUCCUUUUAGAGAAGUGACAGAGGAUAGAAAAUUGUCCUCGGUUUCAGAGGUGGGAAACUGGGGAGGUAAAUUUGUGGGAAAACAUUCUGCUCGCAGAGCCUUCCACAGCCUCAGAGACAUGAGAAGUAGGCACCGUAGAGAAUUUUUGUCUGUUCUUUAGGUAGAAAAGGAAGAGGGCAGGAGGUAGGAAGACCUGUGUGCCUUUCUGAAUCUUUAUCCUGCUUUUUGGCAGAGAGAAGUCAGAGUUUCCUUGCAUUUUGAUUGUUGUCAGCUCAAAAAUCCUUUAUAUUUUGGAGAUAAGGAGCUUGGCUUCCCUCACGAACUUAUAAAACCUUAGUAUUGUUCAACUCAAACCAUUCCUAACUAGAUCAUACUUUCUAACAGCUACUUCAGACUUGGACCUGGUAGCAGUAGACAAGAAAGUACAUUCUGUGCAAACCUGGGCCUACGAACACAUGAAUUAUUUCCACAUAGCAUACUGG
rnacentral:lncRNA from 1 species